rnacentral:rRNA from 1 species
AAAAACAUAGUCUUAUGAUAUAAGGUGAAACCUGCCCAUGAGAAAUUAAAUGGCCGCAGUACUUUGACUGUGCUAAGGUAGCAUAAUAAAUUGACUUUUAAUUGGAGCCUAGAAUGAAAGGAUUGAUAAAUUCUGUCUUAUUUAAUUACUUAAAAGUUGCUUAAAAGGUGAAAAUACCUUUAUAUUAUAAAAUAGACGAGAAGACCCUAGGAGUUUGAAAUUUUGUUGGGGCAACAAUAUAGCAAUACCUAUAUUUAUUUAUAUAAAACGAAAAAUUUUAAUAAGAAAUAAACUACCCUAGGGAUAACAGCAUAAUUUAUUAAGAUUGUGACCUCGAUGUUGGA